rnacentral:rRNA from 1 species
UACGUAGGGACCAAGCGUUGUUCGGAUUUACUGGGCGUAAAGGGCGCGUAGGCGGCCACCGCAAGUCAGUUGUGAAAUCUCUGGGCUUAACCCAGAAAGGUCAACUGAUACUGCGGGGCUAGAGUGCAGAAGGGGCAACUGGAAUUCUCGGUGUAGCGGUGAAAUGCGUAGAUAUCGAGAGGAACACCUGCGGCGAAGGCGGGUUGCUGGGCUGACACUGACGCUGAUGCGCGAAAGCUAGGGGAGCAAACGGG